rnacentral:misc_RNA from 1 species
UCUCCGUAGGUGAACCUGCGGAGGGAUCAUUACCGAGUGAGGGCUCCGGCCCGACCUCCAACCCUUUUGACGUUACCAUCUCAGUUGCCUCGGGGGGCGACCCGGCCCUCUGGGCGUCGGGGCCCCCGGUGGCUCACACCUCAACUCUUGCAUCUGUGCGUCUGAGUAACAUAUUGAAUCAAUCAAAACUUUCAACAACGGAUCUCUUGGUUCUGGCAUCGAUGAAGAACGCAGC